rnacentral:rRNA from 1 species
CUACCAUGCAGUCGAGCGAUGAAGUUCCUUCGGGAAUGGAUUAGCGGCGGACGGGUGAGUAACACGUGGGUAACCUGCCUCAAAGUGGGGGAUAGCCCUCCGAAAGGAGGAUUAAUACCGCAUAAAGUUAAGCUUCCGCAUGGGAGCAUAACCAAAGGAGUAAUCCGCUUUGAGAUGGACCCGCGGUGCAUUAGCUAGUUGGUGAGGUAAAGGCUCACCAAGGCCACGAUGCAUAGCCGACCUGAGAGGGUGAUCGGCCACAUUGGAACUGAGAUACGGUCCAGACUCCUACGGGAGGCAGCAGUGGGGAAUAUUGCGCAAUGGGGGAAACCCUGACGCAGCAACGCCGCGUGGGUGAUGAAGGUCUUCGGAUUGUAAAACCCUGUCUUCUGGGACGAUAAUGACGGUACCAGAGGAGGAAGCCACGGCUAACUACGUGCCAGCAGCCGCGGUAAUACGUAGGUGGCGAGCGUUGUCCGGAAUUACUGGGCGUAAAGGGUGUGCAGGCGGAUAUUUAAGUGAGAUGUGAAAGACCCGGGCUUAACCCGGGCAGUGCAUUUCAAACUGGAUAUCUAGAGUGCAGGAGAGGAGAACGGAAUUCCUAGUGUAGCGGUGAAAUGCGUAGAGAUUAGGAAGAACACCAGUGGCGAAGGCGGUUCUCUGGACUGUAACUGACGCUGAGGCACGAAAGCGUGGGUAGCAAACAGGAUUAGAUACCCUGGUAGUCCACGCCGUAAACG